rnacentral:rRNA from 1 species
UACGGGCGAAAAGCCUAAAACUCAAAAGACUUGGCGGUGCUUCAUACACAACUUAGAGGAGCCNGUCCUAUAAUCGAUACUCCACGAUAAACCUAACCGCCCUUUGCCAAAUCAGCCUAUAUACCGCCGUCACCAACUUACCCUGUGAGGGGAAAAUAGUAAGUACAAAAGCUUAACACAAAAACGUCAGGUCAAGGUGUAGCUUAUAGGGCGGAAGAGAUGGGCUACAUUUUUUAAGCAAAACAUACGACAAAAUAUUUUGAAAUAAAUAUUAGAAGGAGGAUUUAAUAGUAAAAUAAGCAAGAAAGCUUAUUUUAAACCUGCUCUG